GUAAGGAUCAUUAUCGUGAAACAUUUCAUCACAUCAGCAAACAAGUCCUCGUCGUCUGUCUCUGAGCAGCGAGUGGCGGCAAUACUUUCGGGUAUUGUGACGGUGCUAUAUCAACUAAAAUUCAGUGGCUGUAGUGGGCCGAUUAUGCUGAACUUAGUUGGCACCUGGAACUGUGAGGCUUCAUCUUUGGGGUGCCCGAUUGCCUAUCAUUCGAUAGGAUAGACGUCUGCAAUUAUGCCUCGAUGUCUAUGGGCCGUAAGGACACAAUGUCUACACUAACAUUUGUCGCCCCAAACUCUAUUUGUUUGUUAUUAACAAUUUAAUUUAGAAUUUACCAAAAUGUAUACUUUGUUUAAUUAUUAAAUAAUCACUCUGAGCGGUGGAUCACUCGGCUCGCGAAUCGAUGAAGAGCGCAGCAAAGCGCGAUAACUAUUGCGAACUGCAGGAUAUACUGAGCAGCAAUAACUUGAACGCAAAUGGCGGCUUCGGGUAUUCCUGGAGCCACGUUCGCCUGAGGGUCGACAAUUGAUAUAAAAAUAUUAACAUGCAACGUUUUUGCUUGUUGUCAUUUAGACCAUCGCAUUUAGUUUCACAACUUAAUGCGGUCUCAAGUUGAAUAAUUUCACUAAUUUAGUGUAUUUGCUAACCGUUUUAACAGUUAGAUCCAAUAUACUUAUUAUUCUCUAUCAACGACCUCAGACGAGCGGGACUGCCCGCUGAAUUUAAGCAUAUCACUAAGCGGAGAAAAAGAAAAUAACAAUGAUUCCUAAAGUAACGGCGAGUGAAAUAGGAAAAGCCCAUAGCCGAAUUCUGCUGUCCUCGAUGGCAGCUAGAAGUUGUGGCGUUGGGAACUGCCUACUGUAACCGAUCGGCCGGGCUACGCGACUCCUCUUGAUUGUGGUUUGCCCAUAGCAGGUGAAAGGCCUAUUGGUCGUAGCCUCGUGUUGAAGGCCGGCGGUGAUGGCAGUCCUUAGAGUCGGGUUGUUUGGGAUUGCAGCCCGAAGUAGGUGGUAAACUCCACCUAAGGCUAAAUACGAUCGCGAGUCCGAUAGCGAACAAGUACCGUGAGGGACAGUUGAAAAGAACUUUGAAGAGAGAGUUCAAAGUACGUGAAACCGUUCAGAGGUAAACGGAUAGAAAGUCGAAUUGAAGGUUGACAAUCAAGCCGUUGGCUAAGUCAGAGUUGGGCUGGUAGCACGUUAAAGGUUACCGGUUUGCUCAUAGGCUGGCUACGGUUGUAUUUGUUGGCUUUGGAUCGCCGCGACGGUAGUGACUGACCGGCUGGCGUCUGUCCCUCUGGUUGAUGUAGAUCCGUUUGGGUCUUUCAACAUUGGCACAUGAGCAGGCGUCCCGCGUACAUGGCACAACCGAUAUUACACAGCGAUUUAAGCGUUCCAACUGGCUGUCGUUCGUCUUGUACUGGUAGGCUGAACUUAAACAAGCUCGACUAUUGGCAUCAGGGCGGCGGCAGUUGGCUUAAAGACGGAACAAGGAUCGCAUUGGCGGCGUUUGACUACGAAUUAUCUAUCUGACCCGUCUUGAAACACGGACCAAGGAGUCUAACCUAUGCGCGAGCCAUUGGGAUUUAUUACAAACCCAAAGGCAAAGUGAAAGCAAGAAUGGUGAGAUCAGUCGUUUAUUUGUUAAGAAUAGCGGCGGCGCAUCAUCGUCACGCCUCAAUUCGGCUUCGGCUGUAGAGGCGCAGACUGAGCGCACAAGUUGGGACCCGAAAGAUGGUGAACUAUGCGAGGCGAGGUCGAAGCCAGAGGAAACUCUGGUGGAGGACUGUAGCGGUUCUAACGUGCAAAUUGAUCGUCGCAGCUUCGUAUAGGGGCGAAAGACUAAUCGAACCAUCUAGUAGCUGGUUCCCUC
rnacentral:misc_RNA from 1 species